rnacentral:rRNA from 1 species
UACGGAGGAUGCGAGCGUUAUCCGGAUUUAUUGGGUUUAAAGGGUGCGUAGGCGGAUCGUUAAGUCAGUGGUCAAAUUGAGGGGCUCAACCCCUUCCCGCCAUUGAAACUGGCGAUCUUGAGUGGAAGAGAAGUAUGCGGAAUGCGUGGUGUAGCGGUAAAAUGCAUAGAUAUCACGCAGAACCCCGAUUGCGAAGGCAGCAUGCCGGCUUCCUACUGACGCUGAAGCACGAAAGCGUGGGGAUCGAACAGG